rnacentral:tRNA from 1 species
AUAAGCUAAUUAAGCUAUUGGGCUCAUACCCCAAACAUGGAAUUUUUUCCUUUCACUAUUUAC